AUUAUUUACACAAAAUCACUGUUUAAACUUUAAAAAAAAAAAAAAAAAACUAGGCAUAAAUUGAAUAAAUAUACUUAUAGUUUCGUAAAAUUUAGUAAUAUUUAUUUCAGGAUCGUCAAUUUAUCGAUCGGGAUCGAUCAGUUAAUCUCGGCUCUAAAAUCUGAAGAUCCAUAUUGGUCCCAACCGAUCGAUCGAAAGUCUUGUAUUUGAUAAAACCGGAUUGCAAGGUUUAAUAUUCUUCUUUCCUAUAGUUCUUUUUUAUUGAACCAUAAGUAUUUUACGAACUAGCAUAACCUCUGAUAACAGCCUAUAUUCCGAAGGAAAAGUAUGAUUGCUCUGCUGUCUGUGUUCCCACUAACAACUUUUGAAUUAAUUGGUAUAUUUUCAUGAAAUUUUUUAGAUAUGUGACCUCGAAACCGCGUUUUUUAAUCCUAAAUACAUUUAAAAAUGGCGGACGUUAAACUUUACACGUUUCUUCUAACUUGAGGUGACGAGGAUCUAAAAUUGGACCAUUAAGUCCUCUUUCUGAUUGAUGAUAUAUUUUAAUCAUGCAGCUUUAACCAACGGACUUUUUCUUCUUUCAAGAACUACUUAUUUUUUAUUUAUAGCUUUGUUAUAUCUUUUCGUAACGCUUAUGCUGCACCAAACACGUAUAAAUUCCGUUUUCUAUUCCUUAAAUCGUCCAGGAUUGGAACGGUAUAAAGGUAAAAAAAUAAAUCAGCGUUGUUUCAUUCCAAAUUUUUGUUUUAUGCAAGGGAUGGAAUCUGAAUAAUUCACCAAAUCCGAUUGCGUAAAGGCAAAAAAGAAUAUAGCAGAAUAAGGCUGGACAGUAAAAACUCUAUUUUCUUUAAGAAAAUAAGGAGGAAAAAAAAGCGCACUUAAAAUAUUAAAUUAUUAUGUUAAGUCUACUGUAGCUGAUCGUAUUAGCGAUCCAGCUAUAAAAAUAUUUAUAAAUUCGAGACGAAAGCUGUAGAAACGCGAUAUUAGACGUUUUAAAAGAUGCAUCAUAUAUCCUCCAACACGUCGUAAAUUGUCUUCUAUGGUUGGUUCAGCAUUCCUACGUGGUUAGAAAUGAUAUCAAACUUUAUUUAAUUCCUAACCAAGAUCAUGUGAAAGCUUAAAAAAAAUCUUUAAAAUGGAAAAAAUAUAUCUCAGUCUUACAAAUAACUUAGAUUUUUUGUUAUUCUAUCAAC
rnacentral:lncRNA from 1 species